GGUGAGCGGCAGGGAAGAGAAGGGGCGUGGCCUGGAAGAGAGGGGGCGUGGCCAAAGUCUUAUGGAGGCAGUCUUUGGUUUUAGAAAUACCAUGAACUACAUCACAGAGAUAUAUUGAAUCAAUGACACAAGCAAGCUUUCUGCGCAUGAUUUUUAUUUGGAACCGGAUAUGAGCUGAAGCAUUUGUUUCAGUGAAAAGAGAUCAGCAAAAACAUGGACCAAAACUGAAAGAGAGAGAGGAAGAAUGAGCAUUCCUCCUUUCCUAAAGCAGUUUGCAAAGUCAGGAAGGUUUCCCAUAUGAACCUGAAUCAGGAACAAAAUGACAAAGUCCCCUACCUUUUUGGGUGGCUGCUAUUCAGAUAGCUGGAAGUGCUGUAACUUAAUUUCUCCAGUUCAGAUAAGUCAACCAUGCUGCGACUAGCAAAGGAAGAGGGAAAAGACAACUAGAUUACUGCAUUCAAGAGCCCCUGAAAAGCUCAUGAGGAUUCUUGGUUGUUGUUCAGUUUUCAUCACAAGAAGAAAUAACAGUUUAUUCAGACAAUGAUUGCAAAUGAAAACUUUUCGACUGCCUUCUUUUUUGCUGCAAAUAAACUACAACUGCCCCAGGCACCAUGAUAAAAAGGACUUUUCAGAGGAUAUUCUAAUUGUAUUGUUUUACUUUUAAUUUUUUUAAUCACAAUGUGAUAUUUUAAUCUUAUUUUAAUGUUGAAUUUUUAAAUGGUUUUAGCUAUGUAGUACUCAUUUUAAUUUGCAAGCCAUCUUGAGUCCCAGUUUUGGAGAAAAGACAAGGUUUAAAUAAAGUUAAUAACAUUAAGAAAGGAUCCUUAACAGUAUGAAACCUCUUUGUUUUGCCAGUGUAUUAAAACAAGAAACAACAAAAAGCGAAGAAACCAUUAACAUUAGCAAAACAGAGAAAAUUAUUUUUUUCUCCUCCAGUUCUCCAUAUUAUCAAGAAGACAUAAACAUUCCUUCCCAUAAAAAGACACGAGAAA